UUGCAUAUUUACUACAAACAUUUAUAGGAUCAGUAGGACAAUAGAAGCUUGGAAGAAAAAAUAUGCAAUUUAAUCUGCAGCUAGUUCUCCAGUAAAAUACUUGUUACUCUCCAAAUUCCAUUGAUUUUUAUAAGCAACUAGAAACUCCAGCACUAUUAACUCCAUCUUAGUCUACUGCCUCAUCAACACAAUAAGAUAUGACAAAAUCCUUUGGUCCCAGCUUCCAUGGUAGUUAAGCUGCCACCAGUCCCCAGCACAUAGCCCAUUCAAGAAAAUACAUGACUUCCGAUAUUUUCUAUCUUUGGUACUGAAAAUGUUUUGUUGUCCUUGUGGAUCUCUCUCCAGCUGGAGUUCAGAAAGCGCUUCUGUAUUUCAAGGGGUGGAACACUUGAAAGCUCUCAGAACUCUUUGUGAAGUAGAGGGUUGUGGAGAAGACAAGUCAGCAGAGAUUAGAGGCACUAUUUCUAACAGGGUUACUUACAAAAUAGAUCUGGAAAAAAAAAAAAAAAAAGUAAGGAAUAUAUAAAGCCUUCAAGAGAAUUUGUAUUUGCUGAUAUUCUUAUAACAAAUAAGUAAAACUAUACUCCAAUAAUUUUUGUAUAUUUUAACUUCACAGAAUCACAGAAUUUCUAGGUUGGAAGAGACCUCAAGAUCAUUGAGUCCAACCUCUGACCUAACACUAACAAUUCCUCCACUAAACCAUAUCACUAACUCUACAUCUAAAUGUCUUUUAAAGACCUCCAGGGACGGUGACUCCAUCACUUCCCUGGGCAGCCCAUUCCAAUGUCUAACAACCCUUUCGGUAAAGAAGUUCUUCCUAACAUCCAACCUAAAACUAAAACUUAAAACUCCCCUGGCGCAACUUUUGGCAAUGCAGAAUUUUUUUCU
rnacentral:lncRNA from 1 species